UUCUCUCCCUCUCCUUCAUGUUGACACCGAUGCCUCAUUCUGCCACCGUCGAUCGUCGAGCCACCACGAUCUUCCGGCAUUAGUCGUCUAGCACAGCCGUCGACGGCUGUUCGUCGUGCGCCAGCCCACUUACGACCUUUGAGCUUUAACCGACGGAUUUGUUGAGCCACGUACCGAAGGGUUGCAACACAGCCAUAGAGUUGUUGCUUCGUGUCACCAAAUCUGGAAGAUUAGAUGUGGAGUUCUGGAAGAUUUCUUAGCUGUAAAGUUGAGAGAAGAAGAUGAAGUCUGGAAGUUUAGUGCGAGAGAAAACAAGAAAAUUGCAAGAAAAAGCUUCAGCACGGCAGAUUUUUGGUUCAUUUGAUAAAUCUCUAGUUUUCUGUUAAUUUUGAGCUACACAAAAAGAAUUAGAAGGGUCACUUACGAUUGUCAGAGGAUUCCGGGGCUGAAAGAGGUCGUGACCGGAGAUCCAAGAACCUGAGCCUAGGUGAGGACAUGGAUGGAGGAUUGUGAUAUGGCUUCAGGCCUAGCUUAACCCAUAGUGGGUGGCUCUAUGUGCACAUAGGAGCGGUAUGUUGUUACCGUGGUAGGUGCUAAGUAUGCGUGAGCUUCGUUUGGCCGUGUGUUUCCUUGCGGAUAUGAAGCACGUGUGAGCUAUCGUUAAGUCGUAUGCUUAGUAUGCUAUCAUGGUUGGGUUGGAUUUGUUGGAUCGGAUUCGAUGGAGGUUGUUAUCGUGGUGGGUACUAAAUAUGCGUGAGCUAGUUUUGGCCGCAUGAUUUUUGGUCAUGUGCGAGCUAUCUUUGGCCGUAUAUUUAGACGCCUUGCCAUAGUUGGUUUGGAUACAGGUUUGUUGGCCUUACUUAUGGUUUAUGGUAAUAUAUGAUU